rnacentral:rRNA from 1 species
UACGUAGGGUCCGAGCGUUGUCCGGAAUUACUGGGCGUAAAGAGCUCGUAGGUGGUUUGUCGCGUUGUUCGUGAAAACUCACAGCUUAACUGUGGGCGUGCGGGCGAUACGGGCAGACUGGAGUACUGCAGGGGAGACUGGAAUUCCUGGUGUAGCGGUGAAAUGCGCAGAUAUCAGGAGGAACACCGGUGGCGAAGGCGGGUCUCUGGGCAGUAACUGACGCUGGAGGAG